CCUACGGGAGGCAGCAGUGGGGAAUCUUGCGCAAUGGGCGAAAGCCUGACGCAGCCAUGCCGCGUGAAUGAUGAAGGUCUUAGGAUUGUAAAAUUCUUUCACCGGGGACGAUAAUGACGGUACCCGGAGAAGAAGCCCCGGCUAACUUCGUGCCAGCAGCCGCGGUAAUACGAAGGGGGCUAGCGUUGCUCGGAAUUACUGGGCGUAAAGGGAGCGUAGGCGGACAUUUAAGUCAGGGGUGAAAUCCCGGGGCUCAACCUCGGAAUUGCCUUUGAUACUGGGUGUCUUGAGUAUGAGAGAGGUAUGUGGAACUCCGAGUGUAGAGGUGAAAUUCGUAGAUAUUCGGAAGAACACCAGUGGCGAAGGCGACAUACUGGCUCAUUACUGACGCUGAGGCUCGAAAGCGUGGGGAGCAAACAGGAUUAGAUACCCUGGUAGUCCACGCCGUAAACGAUGAUUGCUAGUUGUCGGGAUGCAUGCAUUCGUGACGCAGCUACGCAUAAGACAUCCGCCGUGGGAGGUACGGUCGCAGAAUUAAACUUAAUAGAGUAGACGNGUGAGAGUGCGAGACGACGACGAGGGAGAGG
rnacentral:rRNA from 1 species